UGGGGAAUUUUGGACAAUGGGCGCAAGCCUGAUCCAGCCAUGCCGCGUGCGGGAAGAAGGCCUUCGGGUUGUAAACCGCUUUUGUCAGGGAAGAAACGCUCCGGGCUAAUACCUCGGGGUAAUGACGGUACCUGAAGAAUAAGCACCGGCUAACUACGUGCCAGCAGCCGCGGUAAUACGUAGGGUGCAAGCGUUAAUCGGAAUUACUGGGCGUAAAGCGUGCGCAGGCGGUCUUGUAAGACAGAGGUGAAAUCCCCGGGCUCAACCUGGGAACUGCCUUUGUGACUGCAAGGCUUGAGUGCGGCAGAGGGGGAUGGAAUUCCGCGUGUAGCAGUGAAAUGCGUAGAUAUGCGGAGGAACACCGAUGGCGAAGGCAAUCCCCUGGGCCUGCACUGACGCUCAUGCACGAAAGCGUGGGGAGCAAACAGG
rnacentral:rRNA from 1 species